rnacentral:misc_RNA from 1 species
UCGUCCCGGUAGCGAAACCA